CAGCAGCCGCGGUAAAACGUAGGUGGCAAGCGUUGUCCGGAAUUAUUGGGCGUAAAGGGCUCGCAGGCGGUUUCUUAAGUCUGAUGUGAAAGCCCCCGGCUCAACCGGGGAGGGUCAUUGGAAACUGGGAAACUUGAGUGCAGAAGAGGAGAGUGGAAUUCCACGUGUAGCGGUGAAAUGCGUAGAGAUGUGGAGGAACACCAGUGGCGAAGGCGACUCUCUGGUCUGUAACUGACGCUGAGGAGCGAAAGCGUGGGGAGCGAACAGGAUUAGAUACCCGCGUAGUCCCUGUCUCUUAUAA
rnacentral:rRNA from 1 species